rnacentral:rRNA from 1 species
CGAGUCUUAAUUGGGCGUUAAGUUGCAGGGUAUAGACCCGAAACCCGGUGAUCUAGCCAUGGGCAGGUUGAAGGUUGGGUAACACUAACUGGAGGACCGAACCGACUAAUGUUGAAAAAUUAGCGGAUGACCUGUGGCUGGGGGUGAAAGGCCAAUCAAACCGGGAGAUAGCUGGUUCUCCCCGAAAGCUAUUUAGGUAGCGCCUCGUGAAUUCAUCUCCGGGGGUAGAGCACUGUUUCGGCUAGGGGGCCAUCCCGGCUUACCAACCCGAUGCAAACUGCGAAUACCGGAGAAUGUUAUCACGGGAGACACACGGCGGGUGCUAACGUCCGUCGUGAAGAGGGAAACAACCCAGACCGCCAGCUAAGGUCCCAAAGUCAUGGUUAAGUGGGAAACGAUGUGGGAAGGCCCAGACAGCCAGGAUGUUGGCUUAGAAGCAGCCAUCAUUUAAAGAAAGCGUAAUAGCUCACUGGUCGAGUCGGCCUGCGCGGAAGAUGUAACGGGGCUAAACCAUGCACCGAAGCUGCGGCAGCGAACGUAUCACCCAAGACAACUUUACGGAGUUGACGAUUGACGGAGCGAAGCGACGUCAAAGCGUUCAUUAAAGUCGAGUUGGCUUAGGGAUACGUUCGUUGGGUAGGGGAGCGUUCUGUAAGCCUGUGAAGGUGUGUCGUGAGGCAUGCUGGAGGUAUCAGAAGUGCGAAUGCUGACAUAAGUAACGAUAAAGCGGGUGAAAAGCCCGCUCGCCGGAAGACCAAGGGUUCCUGUCCAACGUUAAUCGGGGCAGGGUGAGUCGACCCCUAAGGCGAGGCCGAAAGGCGUAGUCGAUGGGAAACGGGUUAAUAUUCCCGUACUUGGUGUUACUGCGAAGGGGGGACGGAGAAGGCUAUGUUGGCCGGGCGACGGUUGUCCCGGUUUAAGCGUGUAGGUGUGUGUUCCAGGUAAAUCCGGUUCACUUUAACACUGAGGCGUGACGACGAGGCACUACGGUGCUGAAGCAACAAAUGCCCUGCUUCCAGGAAAAGCCUCUAAGCAUCAGGUAACAUCAAAUCGUACCCCAAACCGACACAGGUGGUCAGGUAGAGAAUACCAAGGCGCUUGAGAGAACUCGGGUGAAGGAACUAGGCAAAAUGGUGCCGUAACUUCGGGAGAAGGCACGCUGACACGUAGGUGAAGUGAUUUACUCAUGGAGCUGAAGUCAGUCGAAGAUACCAGCUGGCUGCAACUGUUUAUUAAAAACACAGCACUGUGCAAACACGAAAGUGGACGUAUACGGUGUGACGCCUGCCCGGUGCCGGAAGGUUAAUUGAUGGGGUCAGCGCAAGCGAAGCUCCUGAUCGAAGCCCCGGUAAACGGCGGCCGUAACUAUAACGGUCCUAAGGUAGCGAAAUUCCUUGUCGGGUAAGUUCCGACCUGCACGAAUGGCGUAAUGAUGGCCAGGCUGUCUCCACCCGAGACUCAGUGAAAUUGAACUCGCUGUGAAGAUGCAGUGUACCCGCGGCAAGACGGAAAGACCCCGUGAACCUUUACUAUAGCUUGACACUGAACAUUGAGCCUUGAUGUGUAGGAUAGGUGGGAGGCUUUGAAGUGUGGACGCCAGUCUGCAUGGAGCCGACCUUGAAAUACCACCCUUUAAUGUUUGAUGUUCUAACGUGGACCCGUAAUCCGGGUUGCGGACAGUGUCUGGUGGGUAGUUUGACUGGGGCGGUCUCCUCCUAAAGAGUAACGGAGGAGCACGAAGGUUGGCUAAUCCUGGUCGGACAUCAGGAGGUUAGUGCAAUGGCAUAAGCCAGCUUGACUGCGAGCGUGACGGCGCGAGCAGGUGCGAAAGCAGGUCAUAGUGAUCCGGUGGUUCUGAAUGGAAGGGCCAUCGCUCAACGGAUAAAAGGUACUCCGGGGAUAACAGGCUGAUACCGCCCAAGAGUUCAUAUCGACGGCGGUGUUUGGCACCUCGAUGUCGGCUCAUCACAUCCUGGGGCUGAAGUAGGUCCCAAGGGUAUGGCUGUUCGCCAUUUAAAGUGGUACGCGAGCUGGGUUUAGAACGUCGUGAGACAGUUCGGUCCCUAUCUGCCGUGGGCGCUGGAGAACUGAGGGGGGCUGCUCCUAGUACGAGAGGACCGGAGUGGACGCAUCACUGGUGUUCGGGUUGUCAUGCCAAUGGCACUGCCCGGUAGCUAAAUGCGGAAGAGAUAAGUGCUGAAAGCAUCUAAGCACGAAACUUGCCCCGAGAUGAGUUCUCCCUGAGACUUAGAGUCUCCUGAAGGAACGUUGAAGACGACGACGUUGAUAGGCCGGGUGUGUAAGCGCAGCGAUGCGUUGAGCUAACCGGUACUAAUGAACCGUGAGGCUUAACCUUACA